GGGGGCGCUGGGGCCCGGGCUCGUUUCCCUUCUGUGGCACAGCGGAUGUCUACGCUGGGACAGUGCUCGCCUGCCAAAGUCAGCUCUCCUAAAAUAUGUGCUACAUUAUCAAGAGUAAAGAAUCCAAAACUCAAAAAAUAAAUGCACUUACGUAUGUUAAGAAGAAAGCUUGAUUAUCUAACAAACGAUCCGCCUGCAACAUCCCGUUUGCUCCAGGCACCACCCUCCUCGGGGCUCUGGGUUGCAGUGGAAACCUCCUCUGGGCGUUCCCCGCCCCCUUCCUUCGAAUCUCCCGUCCUCCCGGCCUCCUUCCUUCAGGACCUGCGGGGGAAGCCCGCGUUCUCCCGGAGCUGCUCUCCUCUGUCCCCGUCCUCCCCUCGUGUGUACACAUCAAGCUGCGAGUGCCACAGACUCAAACGGGCUUAGACAAGAAAGGGAACCCAUGACCCAAUGACUUAUCUGGAGGAGGAGUUAGAAAGAACACUCAAAAACCCAGAAUCAAGACUUUACCCCCCGCCCCGCACCGCCCGCAGUGACGGGGGAACACUUCAGUCCACUCGUGGCUGUCAUACUGCAGUGGCUUCUGGUCUCUCCCUUUUCCAGACCACCCUGCCCACAACCACCAGAUCGGACAGAUGAGGACCUGGGGCGCAGAGUGUCUGGGCUGCGUGGCUGAGGGCAGACAGCCUGUGAACACAGGGGCCAGGGCUCGGGGGCCAGGUCUGCACCUCCACCUCUGCGUGGCUUCCUUUCCAGAUGUCCUCUCCCUUCAAAGCCGAGUAGAGGCCACCUGUCUGUCCCCUGUGGGCUCCCAGAGGGCUGCACCAUCUCGUCACCUCCUGGGAGGCUUCCCCCCUUCUGCCCCCGGGUUGUAGGGAGGGGGGAGGGGGGGGGGGGGCGGGGCGUGUGUGACUGCUGACUGGCACGGAGACCGCAGCCCUCGUUAGGAACUCACGUGCGGAAAACUGCUAUAUACAAACCACUAAAUGCAAAAUAGACAACAGGGACCUCCGUACAGCACAGGGAGCUGUAUUCAACGGCUCGUAGUAACCUAACGUGGAAAAGAACCCGAGCAGGAAGAUCUGUACAGUGUAACGGAAUCACUGUGCUGUGCACCAGAAGCUAACACAGCCUUGUAAGUCAACUCUACUUCAAUAAAAAAUUUAAAAAAAAAAAGAAAACCGGUGGCCACUUAGACCGCUGCCCCGGGCCCUGGGCUGUAACAGCUGGGGCGCGGAGCGUGAACAGAGUGGCUUAUGUCAGGUGGCUGCGUCAGCGCCCGGCAGACAUGGGGUUAUGACCGCCAGGUGUCAGGUGGCUGUCUUGGAGGAGGAGCAGGUGCGCCAGGUGCAGACUGGAAUGCGAGGUGGGGAGCAGGUUAGGCCAGCGCUGCCGGCAGGCGGGACCACGAGGGACCUGUGAGGACAGGUGCUGAGGUGAGAGCGCCCGUCGGGGGCUGACAGAACCGCCUCGUGGGGGCCCGAGCGGCGUGAGGGUAAGAAAUGACGGAAGUCCUGCUCGCGGGGGCUCGCGCUGUGUGCCCAGGUGUCUUGCUUACACGGGGAUACUGGGUCAGAUUCCCCUCCAGACAGGUGUUCGGACAGCUGUUUAAUAAGUGCUGGCAGGCAUCCAACAUGAGGGGCAGGUAAAGAAAUCAGUUAG